rnacentral:rRNA from 1 species
UACAGAGGUGGCAAGCGUUUGUUCGGAAUUACUGGGCGUAAAGGGCGCGUAGGCGGCCAUCUAAGUCGGACGUGAAAGCCCCAGGCUUAACCUGGGAACGGCGUCCGAUACUGGGCGGCUUGGAUUCGGGAGAGGGAUGUGGAAUUCCAGGUGUAGCGGUGAAAUGCGUAGAUAUCUGGAGGAACACCGGUGGCGAAGGCGCUGACCUGGACGAUGAUUGACGCUGAGGCGCGAAAGCGUGGGGAGCAAACAGG